GACCUCAUGGAGAAGAUAUUAUACUUUUUAAAGGGAAUAUCACAUGGUGAUAAAGUAAUAUAUGUCUUAAUAACGGCAAUUGUCAAACAUGGUCAUCUGGCUGAAUUGGUAAAAGAACUGAGCAAGGAACUUACAUUGGAAAUAAUU